rnacentral:lncRNA from 1 species
CUUUCAUUUCUCAAAAUAAUAGAACCAUUCAGUAUAAUCAAAAUCACUGUAAAUUUGUUCUCUCUUUGCUAUUUAUCUGUAGGAUCACGUAAAAUCACCUAAAACAAGCAGCUGGAGUGUCACAGUGCAAUCUAUGCUUAAACAGAGGACAGAUUUGGGUAUGCAGCUGCACCCAAACCAAACUGUGACACUCCACCCAAACCAAAACCAAGGCACUACCAUCUGUAACAUCAUGGCACUGACGAAAUCCCACACCCAGCAGCCACAGGCCAAAACUUCCAAAAUAUAUCUCUCUGAGUCAUUUAUUCAGGAAGGAAUCUUCAGAAGAACAAAAUCUUAUUUCCAUGACCAAUUACGUCUAACUGGGAGAAGGAAGAUUAUUGUUAAAACGAUGGUGAACUGCAGCAAGAAUACAUACCUUUUCUUCACAGCAUAUUACAAUAUAACACAACUUACUGCAGGAUCUGGGAAGUGGUUUGCCUUUAGAAUGUGUCAUAAUGAUUCUUUUUCUCCAUUUUUCUAUGUUUGUUUGAUGACUUCCUUGCAGCUGCCAGACAACAAUGCAUUUCUAUCUGAAGUAGCAAAAUAAGGGUAAUGAAGAAAAUCAGGAUUGAACUGAGUGGCCAAGUAUAGCAAAAGGAAUUUCUUUCACAUUUCCUUCAUCCGUACUUCAUUAAACUGUAAUAUUUCCUUGUUUGAGGCAUUACCAUUUUAUUCCUUGUAGAGUACUUGUGGCUGAUAUGCCUCAUCCCAAGAAAUUAUUUCAAUAAAAUGCAGACUUGAAGUUACCUCUAAAUUUAG